rnacentral:lncRNA from 1 species
GGAAAUCAGAAUACAGAAUGAAAGAGCCCUGGGCAGAAGACAGGGAAGAAGGAAUGAAACUGAGGGGCAGAGAGAUGGAAACUGACUCUGAUACUGAUCAUCUAUCACCUGCCAAUCAUUUCACAUACAUUAGUUUAUUUCAUAUUUCCAGAAAUUUCUUGUGGUAUUAUUAGGUGAAUUUUAAAGAUGAGAAAGUGGACAUUCAUCAAGGUUAAAGGACUUGUCCAUGUAAAUUGUGCAGCCAGGAAUCUGAUCCAGUUCUGAGUGACUCCAAACCCAUUUCCCUUUCCAUUUAUUGAAAUUUAAAUUUAAAUGUUUUUAAUCAACAAAUAAAAAUUGUAUAUAUUUAU